rnacentral:lncRNA from 1 species
AGUAAUUGGUCACCUGCAUUGCUUAGUGCUGUCAAAUCCUAUUGCCCCUGUGGCAACACUGUAUUUGGUGCCACCUUCUCUUGCAGGUCCUAUGAAGUCCAGCCCUUGAUCCAACAGAUUUCUGCCCUUUCCCAGAGUGCUGCUCUAAUGCCCUUCCCUUCUCUGAGUGCUACUCCAGCCCCAACUCCUGUCACUGGUACCCUCUUUAACUCUGCACCUGGGAUUAAAGCCUACUACACCAGGUUCCUAUACUACUUGGAGCAUGUGUGCUGCAGGUGACACACCACUGGUAUAAAGGGUAAUACUGGAGAAACUUCUUUUUACAGGAACUCUGCACAAACUUACCUGUUGUGGCUCAGAGCAGUAUUCUAAGACACAAGGGCUACACUGACUUAAGUUCUGAUGUGUCGCACCAAAGGUUGGUUUUUGUCUUUAAGUUGUCUAACCAUUUCUUUUAUCCUGGCUUUAGUCAUUAAGGUCUGAAGUCUCAUAUGGAAAUCCUGGCAGAAAUGAGGGACUGUAAAAGAUGCUGACAGUCAUACAGAGCCAAAAAUGUUCACAAAACAAAGAAAUUGUAUACAGAGGUGAUUCAAGACAUGAUUGCUGUGCACAUGGAGGAACUCAGCAGCCACUGGCAGGAAGAGAGUAGGUUGGACAAUGCAGAGGUGUGUGAAGGAGGAAAAUCUUCCAUUCCGGCAAAAUCUUCAUGAAAAAAGGAAGAGAGGAGGUCAGCGUCAGUGGACUGUCGACAAUCCUGCGGAAGCUCUAAGGAUACUGAUCGAUGUAGACAGAGGAGAGAUGCCAGCAGAAGCCCUGAAAAACGAAGAAGUUGAAAGAGGGGCAAGGAGAGAGAUUCCAGAAGAAAAAGAGAGAGGCAAGUCCUACCUGAUUCUGGCCAACUGAUUUGCAUGUCACUGACUGUGGAUGAGAAUUAUGGUGUAAUGCAAAAGUGCUAAGGACUUCCUUGCAGAAAUUUAAGACUCAGCUUCAGGGGAAACCUAGG